rnacentral:rRNA from 1 species
ACAGGUUAAUAUUCCUGUACUUGGUGUUACUGCGAAGGGGGGACGGAGAAGGCUAUGUUGGCCGGGCGACGGUUGUCCCGGUUUAAGCGUGUAGGCUGGUUUUCCAGGCAAAUCCGGAAAACCAAGGCUGAGGCGUGAUGACGAGGCACUACGGUGCUGAAGUGACAAAUGCCCUGCUUCCAGGAAAAGCCUCUAAGCAUCAGGUAACAUCAAAUCGUACCCCAAACCGACACAGGUGGUCAGGUAGAGAAUACCAAGGCGCUUGAGAGAACUCGGGUGAAGGAACUAGGCAAAAUGGUGCCGUAACUUCGGGAGAAGGCACGCUGAUAUGUAGGUGAAGCGACUUGCUCGUGGAGCUGAAAUCAGUCGAAGAUACCAGCUGGCUGCAACUGUUUAUUAAAAACACAGCACUGUGCAAACACGAAAGUGGACGUAUACGGUGUGACGCCUGCCCGGUGCCGGAAGGUUAAUUGAUGGGGUUAGCGGUAACGCGAAGCUCUUGAUCGAAGCCCCGGUAAACGGCGGCCGUAACUAUAACGGUCCUAAGGUAGCGAAAUUCCUUGUCGGGUAAGUUCCGACCUGCACGAAUGGCGUAAUGAUGGCCAGGCUGUCUCCACCCGAGACUCAGUGAAAUUGAACUCGCUGUGAAGAUGCAGUGUACCCGCGGCAAGACGGAAAGACCCCGUGAACCUUUACUAUAGCUUGACACUGAACAUUGAGCCUUGAUGUGUAGGAUAGGUGGGAGGCUUUGAAGUGUGGACGCCAGUCUGCAUGGAGCCGACCUUGAAAUACCACCCUUUAAUGUUUGAUGUUCUAACGUUGGCCCCUAAUCGGGGUUGCGGACAGUGUCUGGUGGGUAGUUUGACUGGGGCGGUCUCCUCCUAAAGAGUAACGGAGGAGCACGAAGGUUGGCUAAUCCUGGUCGGACAUCAGGAGGUUAGUGCAAUGGCAUAAGCCAGCUUGACUGCGAGCGUGACGGCGCGAGCAGGUGCGAAAGCAGGUCAUAGUGAUCCGGUGGUUCUGAAUGGAAGGGCCAUCGCUCAACGGAUAAAAGGUACUCCGGGGAUAACAGGCUGAUACCGCCCAAGAGUUCAUAUCGACGGCGGUGUUUGGCACCUCGAUGUCGGCUCAUCACAUCCUGGGGCUGAAGUAGGUCCCAAGGGUAUGGCUGUUCGCCAUUUAAAGUGGUACGCGAGCUGGGUUUAGAACGUCGUGAGACAGUUCGGUCCCUAUCUGCCGUGGGCGCUGGAGAACUGAGGGGGGCUGCUCCUAGUACGAGAGGACCGGAGUGGACGCAUCACUGGUGUUCGGGUUGUCAUGCCAAUGGCACUGCCCGGUAGCUAAAUGCGGAAGAGAUAAGUGCUGAAAGCAUCUAAGCACGAAACUUGCCCCGAGAUGAGUUCUCCCUGAGACUUAGAGUCUCCUGAAGGAACGUUGAAGACGACGACGUUGAUAGGCCGGGUGUGUAAGCGCAGCGAUGCGUUGAGCUAACCGGUACUAAUGAACCGUGAGGCUUAACC